AAGUCUAUACUUUCAGGGAUCAUUUCUAUAGUUCACUACCAGAGAGGUUUCUAUGGCAUGCAAAUUUGAAAUAUCAAUGUCCUUAAAGACAAAGAUAAGCAAGGA
rnacentral:snoRNA from 1 species